rnacentral:lncRNA from 1 species
CCAAGGAGAUACUCCAGCGGGCCCUGAGGGCGUAAGGCAGAGCCCGAGGGCUCUGAGAAGGAUCCUCAUGGCCAGAGCUGUGGUGGAAGGCUCUCUGGGCCACUACUGGGGCUCCAGCAUGGGAUCCUGCCUGAGACCCCAGGCAGCCAGCCGGCUGGAGGCGCUGAACUCAGGCAUUGGGCAUUGUCCGGGGCUCCUCUGCCUGUGCCCACUACCAGCCUCCCUCUCUGAGAAGUGGGAGCUCAGUCAUCUCAAAGGUAGCCCCCAUAGUGGUUGUUCUGGGGAGACUGAAGUCCAUCUCUCUCUUAUCCACACUUCCUAGCUGCCUGCCUCCUGUCCCCAUACUGUCUCCAAGAUCAAUUCUGUCAGGAGAGGGAAUUGAACCACAGCUGUAAAGGCACAUGUGGCAGUCUGCUCUUUCUAGUAGCGGUCUUUUCAGAAAUCAAAAGAAAGAAGUGCUUAAUGCUUGUAGCACUUCCCAAUGUUACAGUUCCUCUUUACCUCAGGACAGGGUUAUCUGUAAGGUCACCCCUAGUAGACAAUAUUACUAAGUCAAGAUGCAUGUAAUACCCAAAACAAACCCAUGUGUGUAAUCCCCGAACCGCCCAUCAAUCCCUCUGUUUAAUGAAUCUGACUUUCUAUAUCCCCAAUCCUUGUGAAUAUUCCGGGUAACAAUGGUGGUGAGUAGCCUG